rnacentral:misc_RNA from 1 species
UGUUAAUAAAAAAUCGGUGCGUUGCAAUUUUUGUGAUGUUCCGGAGUUUGAGUUAUCUUAUCUUCUGGGUUUUAAGAGGCUUAAAAUUGACCUUCUUUGUGCAUUUUAGACGUACAUAAAUUUUUUUUAUUCGUUUAUCUUAAUGCCAAAAUCUAUUAGAUGCGACCAUAUCGUGUGGUUCCGUGUCUAUAAAUUUUUCAUG